rnacentral:ncRNA from 2 species
CCCAGCGGAAGCGAUUCCGGGAAAAGUGCCACAGAAAAUAGACCGCCCCGGUGAUUUGUCACUGGGGUAAGGGUGAAACGGUGGAGUAAGAGCCCACCAGCGGGCAUGGUGACAUGUUCGGCUAGGUAAACCCCGUCCGGAGCAAGACCAAAUAGGAAAGUGAUUGAGGCCGGCCCGGCCGAUACUUUCGGGUAGGUUGCUUGAGGUGUAUGGUAACGUGCAUCCUAGAGGAAUGAUGGUCACUCGGUUUUAACCGAGUACAAGACCCGGCUUAUAGUCCGACUCCAUCU